GUCUUCAUGGCUUAGUUGGUUAAAGCGUCGGUCUCAUAGGAAAUAUGACCAACCCAUUAGAGUUGGAUAUCCGAAGGUCGCGAGUUCGACUCUCGCUGAGGACA